UACGUAGGGGGCAAGCGUUAUCCGGAUUUACUGGGUGUAAAGGGAGCGUAGACGGCAUGGCAAGCCAGAUGUGAAAUACCGGGGCUCAACCCCGGGACUGCAUUUGGAACUGUUAAGCUGGAGUGUCGGAGAGGCAGGCGGAAUUCCUAGUGUAGCGGUGAAAUGCGUAGAUAUUAGGAGGAACACCAGUGGCGAAGGCGGCCUGCUGGACGAUAACUGACGUUGAGGCUCGAAAGCGUGGGGAGCAAACUGG
rnacentral:rRNA from 1 species